rnacentral:lncRNA from 1 species
CCGAAUUGAUUCGGUUUAGCCUACGAGCAAGGCAAGUUUUCUAAUUCUUUAUCUUGUUGAACUAUUUAUUAUUUUAAUUCGAUUACCUUAUAAAUGAUGCAAGCUUUCUAAACUAUGGUUUGAUGUUGACAAGUUAUUCUUGUAUUUAACUUAUUGUUUAGCAUGCACAACUAUUUAUACUAAUGUCGAACAAUUUUAUCGUUCAAACUACUAUGCAUGCUUAGUACUCAAUUCUAAUUAACCUUUACUUAAUAUUGUUCAAGCAAGGCAUGUUAUAGUUAUUCAAAGUAUAUGCUAUUAGAUUAUUCCUAAAGCAUGAUUUUGGUUUACCAUGUUGAUUCAAUUACGAUUAUUCUAUAGUAUGAUGUUAUUGGUUUUAUUCAACUAAUCCUUAGUUGAUGUUCGUUGAAUUCUAAAUUACCCUAAAAUGUAUCCAAACCAAACUCACUUUGGUCCAGACUUGUACUCUAAAUACUGAGAUGAACAACCCUAUUAUUAGGGGUAACUUACGCUUAGCGUGGAAAUGUUUGUGCACAAUACAUUAUACGAAGGGCUGAUCCCCCUAAAUACGAGGAGUCCC